GGGACGGUUGAGGGCGCCGCGGCUUCCAGAGCUGGGCUCCGGGCCUCGGCCUCGAGGCCGGCCCCUCAAGACUCGGACCCCAGAAAGAUUUCAUCACCAGGAGCAUUUUCCGGACCUUACCAAACCACUCACUUUUGUGGCUGCCUCCUGGUGAUGAUGGCUGCGUGAUCACCCACCAUGGCCCACCGGAAGCGUCAGAGCACAGCGAGCAGCAUGCUAGACCACAGGGUGAGGCCGAGCCCCGAGCCGGAGGCUGAGGGUGUGGAGCUGCCCCCAGAGGAGUACACGCCCCAGGGCUUGGAGCUGGCAACCCUGCGGCCCGAGAGCCCGGUGCCCACAGAGCCGGGCUGCCCCGACCACAGCCCCGAUGGGGACUCCAGCUCCGACUAUGUGAACAACACCUCGGAGGAGGAGGACUACGAUGAGGGCCUCCCCGAGGAGGAGGAGGGCAUCACCUACUACAUCCGCUACUGCCCCGAGGACGACAGCUACCUGGAGGGCAUGGACUGCAACGGUGAGGGCUGCCUGGCGCACAGUGCGUCUGGCCUGGAGACUGAUGAGUGCCAGGAGGCGGUGGAGGAGUGGACGGACCCGGCGGGCCCACACCCGCCCGACUGUGAGGACGAGGGCAGCCCGGACUACCGGGGCAGCCACCUCCCCAUCCCAGAGGACGAGCCCUCUGGCCUGGAGGCCCAGGACCAGGAAGAGGGUGUCCACUACUGCCCCAGCGAGGAGGGCUACCCGGACUACUACCCCACUGAGGCCAAUGGGAACGCAGGCAGCGCAUCCCCCUACCGCCCUAGGCGUGGGGACGGGGACCUGGAGGACCAGGAGGAGGACAUCGACCAGAUCGUGGCUGAGAUCAAAAUGAGCUUGAGUAUGACAAGCAUCACCAGCGCCGGUGAGGCCAGCCCAGAGCACACGCUGGUGCGGGCACCGGAGCCAGGGCCUGGGGACUCGGCGGAGGCCUGCCCUCCCGGCGAGGCCAGCCUCGGCCCCAGCAGACACGAGGGGCGGCCCAAGUCUCUGAACCUCCCUCCUGAGGCCAAGCACCCUGGAGAUCCCCAGAGAAGCUUCAAGACCAAGACCAGGACUCCAGAGGAGAGACCAAAGUGGCCCCAAGAGCAGGUUUGCAAUGGUUUGGAGCAGCCGAGGAAACAGCAGCGCUCUGAUCUCAACGGACCUGUUGACAAUAACAACAUCCCAGAGACAAAGAAGGUGGCAUCAUUUCCAAGUUUUGUGGCUGUUCCAGGGCCCUGUGAGCCAGAAGACCUCAUUGAUGGGAUCAUCUUUGCUGCCAACUACCUGGGGUCGACACAGCUGCUUUCGGAGCGGAACCCUUCCAAAAACAUCAGGAUGAUGCAGGCGCAGGAGGCUGUCAGCCGGGUCAAGAAUUCUGAGGGGGAUGCCCAGACUCUGACCGAAGUGGACCUCUUCAUCUCCACCCAGAGGAUCAAGGUGUUAAAUGCGGACACACAGGAGACCAUGAUGGACCACGCCCUGCGCACCAUCUCCUACAUCGCAGACAUCGGAAACAUCGUGGUGCUGAUGGCCAGGCGCCGCAUGCCGAGGUCGGCCUCUCAGGACUGUAUCGAGACCACCCCUGGGGCCCAGGAGGGGAGGAAGCAGUACAAGAUGAUCUGCCACGUGUUCGAGUCCGAGGACGUAAGUAAGCGCAGGCGCGAUGUUCCUUCCGAGGGCCCAGGCCCACUGGGGCUAUAAAUCCCAGGCCCUUCAGAAACCCAGUGUCAGCUGGAGGUCCUGUGCACCAUUGCAGGAAUGGAAGCAAUGGCAUUACCAUAAGUUUGCAGAGACUGUGAACACAGCUCCAUGUUGCUUCAUGAAGUAAGUUCUUCAAGAGCUAUUGAUAAAUGGAACCAUAGGAGUUCCCUGGUGGCUCAGUAGGUUAAGGGUCUGGCAUUGUCACUGCUAUGGUUCUGGUCACUGUUGCUGUGGCUCAGUUUCCAUCCCUGGUCUGGGAAUUUCCACAUGCUGUAGGCGCAGCCAAAAAGAAAAAGAUAAAAUGGAAGCAUGGUUCAAUAUAUGGAGGGAGCUCUCUAACAAGGUCCUUUAGCAAAAACUUCGUUCUCCCCAAAAUAGCCCUUGACUGACUUUUUUUGUUGUUCACACUCACGCAUGUCAGGGUUUCAAACCGAGAGGCACUUCUGCUUUUGCUCACGGCCACCUCAGUCCACACAAGCUAGAAAACACAGCGGACUCUUGGACAACACGGGUUUGAGCUGCGUGGGUCCACUUAAGGGUAGACCUCGUCAGUAGUAGAUACUACAUGUGACCGAGUUGCCUGAAUCUGCAGAUCCUGAACUGCAACACAGAGGAAUCGUAGCUAUGAAGGGCUGAGUAUAAGGUAGACACAGAUUUUUUUUUUUUUUUUAGACUAUGAAGAGUGUGCAUCCCUAACUCCCGUUUUGUUCAAGGAUCAGCUGUAAUUCUGAAGUUUAAAAUACUGCAGAGUCACUAAACACUUUGACUCUUUCCUUAAAUGGGAUGAGAGCAUCUUUCUGAGCCUGGAAGAGGCGGAAAGGGACUGAAGAAGGGAGCUCCACCCCUCUGCUCCCCACACCCCCCAAAGGCAGAUCUUACCCAGGAUGCCCCAGGAGGCAGCCACUGAUCUGUUCCUAUGAUGUCACCAGGCUAAGGUUUUAAAAACUUCUCUCUCCUCCAUGGACACUGGGAAAGGGCAUUCUCCUUCACCAAAGGACUUCAGGAUGUGUCAGGGGCCUGGAGCAAUGGGAAGGGUCCCACUGUUUUCGGGUUUGAAUGCAGGGUGGGUGGAGGCAGUGAUCUUCUUGCUAAGAAGUUGAAGUCAACCACGAGUGCUUUGAAGCAAUGACAUUUAUUUAUUUAUUUAUUUAUUUAUUUAUUUAUUGCUUUUUAGAGCCAUACCCAUAGCAUAUGGAGGUUCCCAGGCUAGGGGUCUAAUCGGAACUACAGCUGUUGGCCUACUCCACAGCCACAGCAAUGCAGGAUCCGAGCUGCAUCUGUGACCUACACCACAGCUCACGGCAACACCAGAUCCUUAACCCACUGAGUGAGGCCACGGAUCGAACCUGCAACUUCAUGGUUCCUGGUUGGAUCCAUUUCCACUGUGCCACGACAGGAACUCCAAGCAAUGACACAUUUAUAGGAGAAGAGAUUUAAAUGUGGACCCACUGGUGCACACGUGUGCUCCUUUCCCCAUGAAACAUACAGACGUGUGUGGACACUGGCACAGGCAUUUUUGUGUGCCUCACGGCUAGAGGAGGUCUCAGAGACCUGGUGUUGGGGGAAUGUGAUGGGCCUGGAGAAGGGCUGCUGUGAUGGGUGGGGUGCGGUGGGAAGCAGGUCAAGUUGCAGAGGGUGACAGUCUGGUAAGGGGAGCAGGAAGGAGCCCUGAGGUACCAGCCGUGUCCUGAGUGCUUAGGUGGCCUUGGUUUCUCAAUUCCGUGGGAGAGAAAGCUGAGAGCAAAGGCAGGAGUGGAUGGGGCUCCAGGUGGUCUUUGACGGCUUGAGGGAAAGACCAGUGGGAGGGGUGUGAAUGGGACAGAGCUGCUGCCCGGAGAGUCAGACCCUGAUGCCAGGUGGUGGCUCCCCCAAGUUGGUUGCUAGUGUGAGUGAGGGAUCCAAGAGUCUGGUGAGAGCAGAGUGGAGCACCUGGAGGAAAUGGAAGGUGGCCUUAAGGGUCAUGAUGGCCCCCUCAGAGUCUCUUUUUCCCCCCCUUUAAGGUGGAUACUGGUGUGGAUGAGCUGCAGAAAUGAAAGUCCUGGGGGCUGGGCAACUUCCUCUCCCCUCCUUCACCCACACACAGAGGCCACCUCUGAGUGCGCACCUCUGAUGCCAGCCCCUUGGGGGAGGCUCCCCCAGAGUCUGCUCGGGACUGUCCCCAGCCAGGGUAGGAGGGAUGCCAGGACGCCGGGCAGAUGGGGGUAUGGGAGACUGCAGCUUGCAACUGGUGGGAAGACACUGGACUGCAACCCACGGAGCCCAGGCAUGGACAGCCUCGGCCCCCAGGUAGUGGGCAGUGGGCGGAGUGAGGGGAAUAGAGCGAUGCUCUCACACACUCUUCCCAGCCAGGGAACAGAUGGACCCAGAAGCCUGGGGGCAGCAGGUGGUGGCAAACUCUAGACCUCAGUGGGGCAAGGCAGGUCCAGCUCUCUGGGGUGUCCUGUGCCUCUACCCCAAACACUUGGAUCAGCUUCCUCCCAGAAGCUCCAACCCCCAGCUUCCAUAACUCCCCAACCCAAGCCCUGCUGUGGUCUGGGCCAGUGGUGCCACCUGGUGGCCUCAGGGCUCCAUGCCUGGUCCUCCUUCAGCGAGCAACCAGACUGCCAAGAGGCUGCUCCUGGGUGUGGGCAGGGCUCCGUCCUGCAAGUGGACACAGGCUUCCCUCCUGCAGACUGUUUGGGGCCCAGUUGGGGAGGGCUGUCCAGUCGGUACUGUUUAAAGGAAGGACUCUGGCCUUGGCCUCUGUUACCCGGCCCAGCCCUUUCUUUCACAAGGGCUUUUUCAUUUGCAGCCUGUGAAUUGUGCAGCAUGUAGAGUGAAGUGGGCUUUAGGUCAAACCCCUUGAUUCCACCUGUUUGCAGGUCCUGUUGACCCAAGGUUUGCUGGGGGCACCUGUGCAGAGGCCCCUUUUUGGCAACAGGGAGGUAGAGGGUAAAUGGGUACUGGAGCCUCUGUGGCCUGGGGCUGAGGGAUCACUGGGGGUCCCACUGCUUCUCUUGGACUGCCCAGCUGCCAUUCACCUGACUCGUCCCGAGAGCUGGGUCUUAGCCCUUGUUUCCCGCCAUCCUUAUCUGUGCACCAGCAGGUGGCACAUAAGCCCCAUGUCCAGGCCUCUGCAGUGUCAGAGAUUCAGUAGAGUCCAUAGAUGUGGUCCUGUUGAAAUAGAAAGAAGUGAUUGCUCCAUGAUUUGCCCUGUGCUGGUGUCCCUGAGGCCCCAUGCUUCUUGGCCUCAGUCUGGUGCCUCCCCACAAAAGUGGCUGGCCACACACCCUGCCUCCCUGGCUGGAUGGGUCUUAUUGCUGCUGAGAGAUAAAGGCUUGAUGGAUGGCUAACAGUCUCUGUGAUGCUCCCCAGAGGACACUUCCAGUCUGUGUUUGGAAUAAGAUGGGUGGAAAGCAAAUACGGUGUAGUCACCAGUGAAAGCAGCAAAACUAUGAUAGGUAGCAAGUAAUUCAUAACAUCCCCAGACAUUAUUGGAAUCUGUUCUUAGUCUUAGGAUGUCUAAGACUUAUGGCAGCUGGGGUUGGGUCGGGCGGGGGCAGCAGGCCCUGAUGGGUCCAAGGCAGCACCCCCACAGAGACCCACAGUGGCAUGUGGGUGGGAGAUAGCUCUCUCAGGACCCAGGCCGCGGUCUCUCUGCUGCUUCCCUUAUUGAAGCCCAGGCAGGGGCCCCUUGCAGGCUGUGCCCUCCUCUCCAGUGGGCACCCCUCCCCACAGGCUCAGCUGAUCGCCCAGUCCAUCGGCCAGGCCUUCAGCGUGGCCUACCAGGAAUUCCUGCGGGCCAACGGCAUCAACCCUGAGGACCUGAGCCAGAAGGAGUACAGUGACAUCAUCAACACCCAGGAAAUGUACAACGACGACCUCAUCCACUUCUCCAACUCAGAGAACUGCAAGGAGCUGCAGCUGGAGAAGCACAAGGGAGAGAUCCUGGGCGUGGUGGUGGUGGAGUCGGGCUGGGGCUCCAUCUUGCCCACAGUGAUCCUGGCCAACAUGAUGAAUGGCGGCCCGGCUGCCCGCUCGGGGAAGCUGAGCAUCGGCGACCAGAUCAUGUCCAUUAAUGGCACCAGCCUGGUAGGGCUGCCCCUCGCCACCUGCCAGGGCAUCAUCAAGGGUCUGAAGAACCAGACACAGGUGAAGCUCAACAUCGUCAGCUGUCCUCCGGUCACCACCGUCCUCAUCAAGCGGCCAGACCUCAAGUACCAGCUGGGCUUCAGCGUGCAGAAUGGAAUCAUCUGCAGCCUCAUGCGCGGGGGCAUCGCAGAGCGGGGUGGCGUCCGAGUUGGCCACCGCAUCAUUGAGAUCAACGGGCAAAGCGUGGUGGCCACCGCCCACGAGAAGAUUGUCCAGGCAUUGUCCAACUCGGUUGGAGAGAUCCACAUGAAGACCAUGCCUGCCGCCAUGUUCAGGCUCCUCACAGGCCAGGAGACCCCGCUCUACAUCUAGGCCACCCACCGCACCCCAAGGAGCGGGAGCCAGACCCGGGACCUGACCCCUGACCCCACCGCCCACCUAAGGACACUGGCUCCCCUGAAGGGCACGCCCUCACCACCCACUUUUUUUUUUGGACUCAAAGGGGUAUGUCUUCAUCCAAGGAGGGUCACAAGAACCAAUCUUUGUAGAACAGUCAAGUAUUUUGCCGCAUUCUGACUUUUCUCAUUGCAACGGACAAGGGUUUCUUUGUACCCCUGUGUGGUGUGGAGCCGUGGAGGGUGAAUGUGGGUGCCUCUGGAUGCGGCCGUGCAGGGAGCCCCUCGAGGACGGUGAGCUCCUGGGGGGCAGCAGCGAUGGCCCCACCCUUGGCUGGGGCUCCGGGGUCCUGCAGGGAGGGCAUCCCGACAGCCCGGAUGGCUGCCUCCCAGGGUAGCCGGCUCUCAGGAUGUGACUGGUCAUUGAAGUUGGGGACCACGUGAUGUAUUUCCCGAGAAAGGAGACAUCCUUCAGUUCAAUAAAGGAUGAUGGCCACA
rnacentral:lncRNA from 1 species